GGCCAUGACACUCACGCCGUCCACUCUACCGGGGCCCUCACACGUCUCCUGACGUGUGGCCCGCUGCUCCUGGGCCACCCUAGGGGCCACCGGGGCCCUCACCCGCCUCCUGACGUGUGGCCCUCACUAUGGGGCCCCUGCUGCUGCGGCCUGGCCUCGUGGGGCCCCCUUGUGGUCCUUGUGUGAUUGAAGGUUGGUGAAGACAAUGUUUCAAGAGUUUUCAAAGUUUACCACUUUGAAAGUCAACACAGGCAGUUGAACUGAAAUUGGACUUUGACAAGCGUUGUCUGCUGCCUCAGUUCUGGGAACUAAACAAUCUGCCUCUACAUUCAGAUAAAAGAACUGCCAAAGAAUUUGUAUGUGAAUGCUGUUAGCCUCUUGGGUGGGGCAUGAUGGUGGGUGGCACCUGUAGUUCAUAAUGAAUGUACAUGGACUGGGCUGUAAUGGUGUGGACCACAGGUUUUGGUACAAAGCUGGAUGAUGUCAAGAUUGGGGAAAACUCGUGGAAGUGCACUGGAUUACUUGUUUAGAAAGACAUUAAAUGAGAUCGGAGAUGGCAACUCUUUUUAAGUUUUGGAAGUUUACCGCUUUAGUAAACACAGCAGUUGCAAUGAAAUUGGACUUUGACAAGUGUUUAGUCUGCUGCCUCAGUCCUGGUGAACUGAACACUCUGCCUCUACAUUCACAUAAAAGAACUGCCAAAGAAUUCAUAUGUUAGCCUCUUGGGUGGGGCAUGAUGGUGGCACCUGUAGUUCAUAAUGAAGGCGAGU
rnacentral:lncRNA from 1 species